UUGAAUCCACGGAGAUCGUCGUAGCGUGUUGUUAUUAUUGUAGUAUGUGACUUUUUUUUUUAUUUUUCUUCGCUGUGAGCGCGUAAGAAUGUCUCGAAGGAAAGAUAGAAAGGAAGACAAUACAUAUGAAAACAGCAGCAGUGAGGCUGAGGACUCUGAAAAUGCGGCUUUUAGUGAGCAUAGCCUGGAUAAACGUAAUGCUGGUUAGAAGCCCCGAACACUGGUCCCUUUGGGAAAAAGAAAUGACAGAAAUUUGGUGCCCCCUUUCCUUUGGUGCCCCGGACCCGGGACCCGAAUGCCCUGCCGUAAAUCAGUCCCUGGAUACUGCCAUUUACCUGCUCA